rnacentral:rRNA from 1 species
UUGGUGAGGUAAUGGCUCACCAAGGCGACGACGGGUAGCCGGCCUGAGAGGGCGACCGGCCACACUGGGACUGAGACACGGCCCAGACUCCUACGGGAGGCAGCAGUGGGGAAUAUUGCACAAUGGGCGAAAGCCUGAUGCAGCGACGCCGCGUGAGGGAUGACGGCCUUCGGGUUGUAAACCUCUUUCAGCAGGGAAGAAGCGAAAGUGACGGUACCUGCAGAAGAAGCGCCGGCUAACUACGUGCCAGCAGCCGCGGUAAUACGUAGGGCGCAAGCGUUGUCCGGAAUUAUUGGGCGUAAAGAGCUCGUAGGCGGCUUGUCACGUCGGGUGUGAAAGCCCGGGGCUUAACCCCGGGUCUGCAUUCGAUACGGGCUAGCUAGAGUGUGGUAGGGGAGAUCGGAAUUCCUGGUGUAGCGGUGAAAUGCGCAGAUAUCAGGAGGGACACCGGUGGCGAAGGCGGAUCUCUGGGCCAUUACUGACGCUGAGGAGCGAAAGCGUGGGGAGCGAACAGGAUUAGAUACCCUGGUAGUCCACGCCGUAAACGGUGGGAACUAGGUGUUGGCGACAUUCCACGUCGUCGGUGCCGCAGCUAACGCAUUAAGUUCCCCGCCUGGGGAGUACGG